rnacentral:rRNA from 1 species
UACGAAGGGGGCUAGCGUUGUUCGGAUUUACUGGGCGUAAAGCGCACGUAGGCGGUUUGUUAAGUCAGGGGUGAAAUCCCAGAGCUCAACUCUGGAACUGCCUUUGAUACUGGCAAGCUAGAGUCCGGAAGAGGUAAGUGGAACUCCUAGUGUAGAGGUGGAAUUCGUAGAUAUUAGGAAGAACACCAGUGGCGAAGGCGGCUACUGGUCCGGAACUGACGCUGAGGUGCGAAAGCGUGGGGAGCAAACAGG